rnacentral:rRNA from 1 species
AGAGUUUGAUCCUGGCUCAGGAUGAACGCUAGCGGGAGGCCUAACACAUGCAAGCCGAGCGGUAGAGAUUCUUCGGAAUCUUGAGAGCGGCGUACGGGUGCGGAACACGUGUGCAACCUACCUUUAUCUGGAGGAUAGCCUUUCGAAAGGAAGAUUUAAUACUCCAUAAUAUAUUUGAUGGCAUCAUUAAAUAUUGAAAGCUCCGGCGGAUAGAGAUGGGCACGCGCAAGAUUAGCUAGUUGGUGAGGUAACGGCUCACCAAGGCAAUGAUCUUUAGGGGGCCUGAGAGGGUGAUCCCCCACACUGGUACUGAGACACGGACCAGACUCCUACGGGAGGCAGCAGUGAGGAAUAUUGGUCAAUGGGUGCAAGCCUGAACCAGCCAUCCCGCGUGAAGGACGACUGCCCUAUGGGUUGUAAACUUCUUUUGUAUAGGGAUAAACCUACUCUCGUGAGAGUAGCUGAAGGUACUAUACGAAUAAGCACCGGCUAACUCCGUG